GCAAAUGCAACGAACAGAAUACGAUCAUUAAAAAAGGAGUAUUUCAGAGAGCCGCCGGGUGGUGUGAGACGGUGUAUGUUUUUAGUGAUUAUCAUCUGCGAGCAGUGCACUGAAUUCCAGAUAUGGACAUUAGGUGUCACCGGUUUUCUACCGUUACAAAGAAACUUAUUUCUACAGUGUGAGCUUAUGAGAUGAGGUUGAGUGGUCAUUUUUUUGAAUGGCAAAUAAAGUGGUAACGCGGAAGUUUAAAGGCUUUCGUCUUUAUG
rnacentral:ncRNA from 1 species